rfam:Oryza glaberrima chromosome 11 Oglab11_0197_3, whole genome shotgun sequence.
AAUAAGUGCAGUUUUGCACUAUUUAUCUCCAACGUUUGACCGUUCGUCUUAUUUGAAAAGUUUUUAUGAUUACUAUUUUUAUUGUUAUUAGAUGAUAAAAUAUAAAUAGUACUUGACAUAUGACUAAUUUUUUAAAAAAAUUUCAUAAAUUUUUCAAAUAAGAUGAACGGUCAAACGUUGGACACGAAUUUCCACGGCUAGACUUAUU